UCAGCCGCCGCGGUAAAACCAGCACCUCGAGUGGUCAGGAGGUUUAUUGGGCCUAAAGCAUCCGUAGCCGGUUGUUCAAGUUUUCGGUUAAAUCUAUGCGCUUAACGUAUAGGCUGCCGAAAAUACUGGACAGCUAGGGAGUGGGAGAGGUAAACGGUACUCAAUAGGAAGGGGUAAAAUCCUUUGAUCUGUUGAUGACCACCUGUGGCGAAGGCGGUGUACCAGAACACGUUCGACGGUGAGGGAUGAAAGCUGGGGGAGCAAACCGGAUUAGAUACCCGGGUAGUCCCAGCUGUAAACGAUGCAAACUCGGUGAUGCAUUGGCUUGUGGCCAAUGCAGUGCCGCAGGGAAGCCGUUAAGUUUGCCGCCUGGGAAGUACGUACGCAAGUAUGAAACUUAAAGGAAUUGGCGGGGGAGCACA
rnacentral:rRNA from 1 species